AAAAUUAACAAAAAACAAAAACAAGAACAGAACAUCUCGGAAGGACAGCAGACCAAAUUUUUGAAAAGCCUAUUAAUAAAAUGGAUUUAGUGCCAGAAAACUCCUCCAGUGCAAACAAGAGAACAACAGCAGGCGGCAGGGUGAAAUGGAGUGCCGCGCUUGAGAGCCUGCUGAUUGACAUAUGGAAGGAGAAAAUUGAAGAUUUGCGCGGACCACGCAAAAAUUCACAUGUGUAAAUUAAGUUGUCCGUAUGUCCAAGUAGCCUUAGCUGCUUGAUGCGGUGGUCCUCGUGCGGGUUCCGUGGUAUAGAAUCCUUUAUGAAGAUUAUGUUGGAGAGAUAACUGUCUCUCUUAUCACUGGCCUUGUGGUACAGUGGUAUAGAAUUAACAAUUCAAAGUGUUUACGGCUGGUUGCCGGAGCAAGGUUUAUUAACAAGCGUUAGCUUUCGUUAUAAGAACAGAACUAAAACUAGGAGCCACCAGCAAGCUGGGGCAUAAGCUGAAUCAAAAGUAUUUAAUUGCCAAAGAAUGCAAAGCUACAAAAUAUAUGUACUUAGAGCUACAAAGCCACAGUCGGUAAGCCGACUUGGCAUAAGCGAUAAUGCUGAUCUUGCGGCAUGUGCAAGAUAUCAGAUUACCGCCGGUUGACCGUCACAUUCAGGGCGCUGAACUGAAGUUCGCUGAUUUGGCAUCUUGAGUGCAAACAACAUGGAGCAGAGCACAUUGGACAACGACACUUUUUAGAAAACCUAAAUGCCGAGUCCCCGAUAAGCAUUACAGGGACGCUUACUCCGCUUAUUUCCUUGGCUUUCUCUUGGAGUAAUGCCGAUGCUUCGAUAUGUUUUGCAAGGCUUGACUUCUGGUAUAUCAUCGAGUCAUUGCACCUUCCUGCAGAGCCGAUAUUUACAUACGUAAAUCUGUAUCUAAAAAGAAUCGGAUUUAAAUAAUUUAGGACAUUAAACCAACUUGCUAAAUACAUAUUUUUGUGCAAGAUAUUUGCAUACGUAUAAGUGCUCUGCAAAACUCGUGCAGGAUAUUACACACACUGUUUGGAGCUACACCGAAAAGCCUGCCAACUGUUCGGUACUCAGAGGACGAGCCCAAAGUGUAUAG